AUAACGUAAAGCUAAAAGCUUAGGGGCUCAUAACCUUUAGAGUAUUGUUAUU
rnacentral:tRNA from 1 species